rnacentral:lncRNA from 1 species
UCAUAUCUCCUGAUGUUGAUCUUGGGGCCAUUGAUCAUAGAUGUCAUCCUGGUAAGCAAAAAGAUCUGGAGCUUCUUGCACACAUUUACAAAAUACCUAGCGCAUGAUGACACCCUCGUCGUCGACUCUAUGGUGCUUGAUGAUAGCCCUGCAUCGCCGGCGAAAGUAACUGGCGGUGGAGGAUUAACAUCUCGUGACAUAGAAAUUGUCACGGCGAGGCUAGGUCUUACCGGGUGGAGGUACCAAGGGUGUGAAGGAAUUAGUGUCGUAGAUGCGUUGAUGGAUGGUAAGCAAGCGAGCGAGGGCGAGCUGAAGGAAGCCUUCUGUGUUUUCGACCGUGAUGAGGAUGGGUUCAUAUGCCCCGGUGAGUUGUGGAAUGUGAUGAGGAGGCUUGGUUGGAAAGAAGGGGCCAUGUAUGAGGAUUGUGUGAGGAUGAUCCGCCCCUUCGAUGAGGAUGGAGAUGGCAAGAUCAGCUUCCUAGAGUUUAGAAGGAUGAUGGAGAAUGCCAUUUAGUUAACUAGAAUGUUUUUGUUACUUUGCCUCCUUCGUGUAAAAUAAGCCGUUAUAAACUGUUGUAUGAACAAUGUGUGUCGGUAUGCUACUUUUUGGCAUUUAAUUAAGGUUUUGACCUCACUAUUUGUUCGCACCGUUUUGGGCCAAACAAUUUGGCAAAUAUGAAAAGUAUCAACCCUUGCAUCUCGUUAGCAACCAGUUCGUACAUAAAGUAGGAAAACGCCAACUUUACUCUCUAAAGGUUUGAGUUUGUCUCGAUAGCCCCAGUUACCUUUGGUUUUGUGCAUUUAACCCCUCCAAGUUCAGAUAUGGGAUGCUAUGUAAAAAAACGCUGUCAGAACUAGUGCCAUAGAUUGAUGUGAUCUGGCAUUGAUAAUUUGCAGGGAAAAUCUAAUGAAGCAAACUGUGGAUUAAUAACAUAGAAGAGAAUUUCGAUUCCAAUUCCUGUUCUUUGGCAGAUGGUGCAUGAUGUGCGAAUGUGCAUGAGUAUAUACGGCGCUUCUACAAACCAAGAAAAGGACAUGCAUUUACUUACCUGCAUGUUGACGCCCCCUAUAUCAGUCCAACAAGAAAAGAAAAAAGGGAAAUUAUAGGUCACUAUCUAAGAGCACGAAAGGUAACAGUUAUGCCAAACGUGUCAAUUCAUUAUAUGGAAAAACUUUGCUUUACAUGCAUCCAACGUAUAGAAAUUAAUAGAAGGGAAUGAAAUUAUGGAUACUUCAGCAGGACAAUGAAUUGACCAAUAUUUUGGCCUAAAAAUUAAGAAAAUCCUACCCAACAAUUAUUAUAUACUACCAUCCCAUAACCUGUGAAUUCACAACAUAUUUAACGGAGGCGAUUAAACUCAAACUCACAGUCAAUCAUCUUACUAGGAUGAUGGAAACAUGUGUCAAACGACAUUUAAAGUGAAAUGCACCAUCAGAGCAUCUUCAAUAAAUCCCCUUUCCUUACUAAAAACUGGUAUAGGGGGAGUUGGCCCAAAAAACCUGCUCCAACAGAUCCCAUAAACGAUUAAAAAAAUUAGAGGACCACAUAUAAUCAACCGAACCUCCCCUCUAUCUAGGGGAAAAGGGUUGUCCAUAACUUUCCCCUCAAACUGGCAGAAUGCAACAGCUAAACCACGUCCACCUCCAUGCCCGUGGGCGAGCCGUGGCCCAGCAGACGACCCAAACCUUUAUCGGUGGCAGUCCACCGCCUUGUCCCGCCGCCCGGCCGCACCGCAGCACCUCAUCCCACUGGCACGUCAUCCUAGCCGCCUUGCCAGGCCGCCUCUACACGCUGACCCGACCGCCUCUCCCAACUGUACUUCCCGAGCUCACCACUUCCUCUAGUUUUCAUCGCCUUCGGAUGUCCGCAACGUGUUCAAUGAAUUUCCUCACCCUUGAACAUAUAAGGUUGGACCAAGAACAAGCGGACAAUAGAACCUUGCGUCUUUCUUCACUAGGAGAGAUAUUUGAUGGAUUUGAUCAGACUCAAAAUUGCAGUGAAUUAUGUUACCAGGACGAAAGAAACAUACGUCAAAUGAUAUUUACAUGAGUGAGGUAUGUGUACGCGACCGAGUUUAGCUUCUCCGCGCAUCCUCGUCGCCCCUGCUCGGGCGACUCGGGGGCCCCAAACCCUAGCUCCGCCGCCCCCCCUUUCUUCUCCCCUCCCCCUCGCCGCCGCCUGAGGCCGCCGGCGGGCAAGCCCGGGGUGCCGCCGUGGAAGGUGGCGGCGGGGCCCUGGCGCCCCUGCCUCUGCUGCGGGGGGCCGUGUUUCCCAGGGCGGCGGCCCUGGUCGGCGAGGCGUCACCGGCCCGGCGGCAGGCGGUGGCGCGGGCGUGGACCGGCGCUCCUGGCCGUGUGGAUGGCGGGUGCCCCGGUGGACGGGAGCCAUGGUGCUGCAGCGGCUGUGGCUCGCGGUGGAGCCAGAUCUGGCCGCCCCUGCCCCCUGUUUCGAGAGCUCCGCCCCGGCCAGAUCCGUCCGGCUUCUUUGCGGGCAGCCGAAUCUUGCGUCGGUGGGUGGUGGAGGCGGGGAUUCGAAGACCGGGAGAAAUUCCAGGCCGGCCUCGGCGGUCUUGGCGGCGGCGACGCUCUUGGCGCCGUUCCCCUCCCUGGAGGCGUCGUUCAGGUCAGAUCCAUCGCCCCCCCCAUCCCUCUAGUCUCCCGGGUGAAAACCUCAACUCUGUUGGGCGGCGGCGGCACCCUUAGCGUCGCGUCCUUCCUGAAGGCGCCGUUUUUGGGAGCUAGGUGGGUAGUGGGCUCCUCGAAGAUGCGGUGGAUGUGCAGCGGCGGCAGUAGCUGGUCUUCUUUGUCUGCGACGAGAUCUCCAGUGGCUCUUCGCCUACAGGGACGCUAUGCUACUGCUCCUCCGUCCGUUCCGUUCCGGCAGCUCUUUCUCUUUCGUGUCCAGUUUGUGGGUGUUGGGUGGUGCGCUGCUCCAUGAGAUCAUUCUGAGGCUAGGCGGGUGAGCUAGGUUCCUUUCCAGAUGCAGCCUGCCGGUGUCUUUCCCCCCAGGUUCAAGGGUGAACUGCUACACUGUCAACGGUUCGGCGCCUUCGAGCCAGGCGAGGAGACAGGGGUCUUCUUUGACAGUGGGCUGGGAGGUCAUGGCAAUCCGGGGCCGCUGGUGAUUUGGCGACGGCGUGCCCUCCCUCGCCGUCAGAAUGGUUGCUCCUGUGCUGUCAUUCUCCUUCUCCCUGGUGAUUUGUAUGCGAAUGAGGACCUACACAUCCCCGAGCUGCGUGUCUCCUUGUUAGAUCAUUUAGCUGGGUGUGUGUGAGGCUUGUGUGCUGCUGUCCAGCGCCUCUGUAUCUUGUCAUUUUUUCGUUUUCUUGUGUUGGUUUCGAGUCUGUAAUCCUGGCCGGUUGAUGGCUUUGUUAAUUCAAAGCCGGGCUCUUCUGAAGCCUUCGUUCUAAAAAAUGGGUAUGUGUACGCAUGCAAGUGUUAGCACCCAUUUUAUUUGCUAGAUAAUUGCACGUAUGUUACAACAUGGGCAUUAUUGUGUUUGUUAAACACUUAUUUUGUAAGUGUUUAGUGGCUUACCAAAGAAAAUAUUAUUUGAUUUGGUCAGUCAAUAAGAGGUGAGGCAGUUGAAGUGAUUUUCGCGUAAAACCAGUGCACAAAAUCAGAAGUGGGAGGAAAAAAAUCAAAACAAAGGGAGAGCGUGGGUGAAGGUAAGGUUGGAUGAAGGACAAGCGGACUGACAGAACCUUACGAAUUUUUUUAAGUGGGACAGGAAGAGAUAAGUCAAUAAGAAAUGAGCCAAUUGAAGCAGUUUUCAUGAAGAACUGGUGUGAAAAAUCAGUGGUGGGAGAACAAAAACUCAAAAUGAAUAGAUGUGGGUGGGGUGUGUNNNNNNNNNNNNNNNNNNNNNNNNNNNNNNNNNNNNNNNNNNNNNNNNNNNNNNNNNNNNNNNNNNNNNNNNNNNNNNNNNNNNNNNNNNNNNNNNNNNNNNNNNNNNNNNNNNNNNNNNNNNNNNNNNNNNNNNNNNNNNNNNNNNNNNNNNNNNNNNNNNNNNNNNNNNNNNNNNNNNNNNNNNNNNNNNNNNNNNNNNNNNNNNNNNNNNNNNNNNNNNNNNNNNNNNNNNNNNNNNNNNNNNNNNNNNNNNNNNNNNNNNNNNNNNNNNNNNNNNNNNNNNNNNNNNNNNNNNNNNNNNNNNNNNNNNNNNNNNNNNNNNNNNNNNNNNNACGAUAGAACUUUACGUCAUUUUAAAGUAGGAUAGAGGAGAGAGAAAAAAUUAGGGUUUCUCGUGUCGCCGUCGUCGUCGCCGCCAUCUAAGAAAUUUUGGUCCCCUCGCCUCUAGUUGCCAUCUUGGUACUAAGAGGAUCUCCAACAGCCGCUAAAAAUUACUUUGUCGCGCGCGCUUCGCCUGGUUUUGCGCCUCAUUGAGGUUAGAUGUGUCCAAGAAAGAACAAGUGCUUCUCCCAUUCCAACAAUCUAGUUCGCUCCUCAUUGCUCACCUUCCUCUCCUCCAAAGACACCUUCCUCUCCUCGGCCGCCACCCUCCUCUCCUCGGCCGCCAACCUCCUCUCCUCGGCCGCGGCAUCUUGGUUUCUUGCCAUUUUCCUCACCUCGUUGGCUUCUCUUCUUGCGUUGACAAUUGCUUCCAUAGCAUUUUUGAUCUCAUCAUCUCCUUUCCUCGUCUUCUUUUCUGUUUUGUCUUUCUUGCACUCAUCCGGCCGUUUUGGCUUCGAGUAUGAAACCGAGUUGGGUGUGGGGCUUCUCUUGUCGUCAUCACUUGAUGCAUCAUCCUCCUCAUCAUCAUCAUCAUUCAACUCAAUUGUUCGCUUGCGUUUGGUGCUCAAAUGCAAAUCAUCCAAAUCUUCACGCUUCUUCCAUUUCUCAUCAUCCUUCAACACUUCAUAGCAAUGAGGCAAGGUAAAGAUCCUUCCUUUCUUGAUCUUCCCCUUCUUGGUUUUCCUCUCCUCUUCUUCGAACAAGUUUUGUGCAAUGUGGUACUACAUGAAAACAAAGCAAGUUAGCACUUCGAACACCAACAACAAGUAUGAUGAACAUGUAUGAAAUGCCACUUACUCUAUCGUCCUCAUUUGUGCCACUUGGGUUCAACUUGUCAACCGCCUCUUGACAUGCCGCCCACCUUUGACAAUCUGAGUUGAUUUUCAACCACCGGGACCGAAGUGAUCUCUCAGAGCGGUCAAUUCCACUCACGUUGCGAACAUCAAAGUGUUCUUUCAUCCGCCCCCAAUAAGCGUCUCUACUUUGAUCACCUCCAAUGGAUGGAUCCCUCGACACUUGCAACCAAGUAUUGCAUCGUAAGAUGUCAUCGGCGUUGGUGUAAUUGCCCCCUCUUCCUUUCGGCGCGUCGACAAUGCCCUCACCAUCCUCGUCAACCUCGAACUCAUGGUCUUCAAAAUGCAUGUCAUUGGUUUGAGACCAAUGCGAAUUGUUGGAGCCAACACCCAUAGUAGCCAUGUAUGCAUCAUUGUUGACACUACAAAAUAUAUAGAACAAUGCAGAUAAGCUAUCUAUAUGGAUGCAUUCAAAAAAUAACAAGAAAAGAAAAGUUGGAAAAAAUUUCUACUUUUGGGGCAUAUCGUCGAACACGUUGUGCGCGUCGGCGGCCGGCUCAACGAGUGAGCUCGCCAGCGCUUCGGUAGCCGCCGCGCCCGUCACACGCCCUGCAAGCUUCUUUCUCCUCGCCUUCGAGGUGCCGGAGCCGUCCGCCACCUUAUUCUUCUUCGCGGAUGUCUUGCCCUUAUUCGGCCGCGCCGCAUUGGGGAGCUUCGAGGGGGCGGCAGCGGCACGGGACGGCACCGGCGCGACGACACCCGCCGCCGUGGUCAUCUGUGACGGCAUGAAGAGGCCGCGCGCAAGGCCGAUGCUCGGGGGAGCUCCGGCGGUGGCGAGGCCAACUCUCCCCGCGCUAGGGUUUCCGGCGGCGGCGGCGGCGGGGGAGGGGUCGCGGCUGUAGGAUGGGGUGAGCGGGGUGCCGGCGCGUGCGUCCAUCGGGUCAAGUUCGCCGGCACUGGCGCUCGCAGGGCGAAGGUGGCGGUGAGGAGAGAGUGCGGCGCGAGCGCUCGUGUGUGCCGCGCGCGGAAGCCGGCGUCCCAAAUACACAGCGCGAGUUGGCGUUUUGGACCGCACGCCCAACUACAUAUGUCGCGCGCGCGGUUAUUGCGCGCCCACUGGAGCUUGUCUACAGGUUGCGCGCGCGCUAAAAUGGCAAAAUUUGCGGCACGGCGCUUGUUUAGCGCGGCUGUUGGAGAUGCUCUAACAGGUGGGGGGCCUCAGAUCUUCAAGACCUCUAUGUUCUUCAUCAACUCCUAGUGAUCAUCAUAGUCUUGUGAGAAUAAAUUCCUCUCAUUCUUUUGGCAGUGCCAUGAGGUUAGAAAGUUUUCUGUCCUCGCGGAUUCGAUUAUUCGGAUCUGAUGAGUUUGUAUUGCUGUGUCAAGCUUUUUUUGUUGGUUUGAUUCUUUGCGGAGGUGAAAUCUUUCAUCGACAUCAUGCUGAAGAUAUAGUGAUUUGACGGCCUGCACUUCUAGAGGAUCAUCCCUGGCCCAAGUACGUUCAUCGAUCAAGGCUUCCCAUCUGUUUAAGAUGGCAAUUCAAGACGCUUUCAAAAACCAUUAUUGGUACUGUUCGUGCGGGUGAAAGAGUGACAGCACCGUUACUUCAGUCUAAUUGCAGCCUCUUUACCGAAGUCUUUGGAGUAGUUCUUCGAGCAGAGGGUGCUACCGUGAACAAGGUGUUUACAACAUAUUUUAUUGUAAGUCUUUCUCAUAGGAGUUACUUUGUAUUUUCUUCGAUCUUAGGUCCAAAUCGGUUUACCUGUAAUUGUUAUGAUCAAUAGAGUUACAGGUGUUUCUAAAAAAAAGUAAAAUUGAAGAGAAGAGGCGUGUAGUUUAGACCAUGAUUUACCUGCACUUAUUAGUGUGAUUUGACCAUAUUAAAGUGAUUGUGUAAAAUGUAUUUUUUAACUAAAUAUAUAUUUUUAUGUGGUAAACACAUAUUGACUCAUCAAAGUAAACAUAAUUCUAUGCGAUAUGUCAAUAAGAGGUGGGGGCAGUUGAAGUGUUUUCAUAAAAAGACAGUGUAAAAAAUCAGGUGUGGUAGAAAGAAAACCAAAAUGGAGAAGGGAAUGGGAAAUAAGCGUAUGGUUGGAUGAAAGUCGAGCGGACUCACAUAAUUAGUGUUUUUUAAUUAAGUAAGAGAAGAUUGAAAUUAAUGAAAGCAGCAUGGCACGUGCCGUCAGACCACUCAUAAAGUUGUUGCAAGAUAUGCCUUCCUUCGGAUGCAAUUACUCUCUCCGAUACAUGCUAUUUGUCUUAGAUUUCUCUAAAUACAAUUGUAUCUAACACUAAAACAGUCUAGAUACAUUCAUAUGUAGACAAAUCUAAGACAAGUGAUAUCGACCAAAGUGGUAAGAAAUUUUUGGACAGUGAACACGACUAAGAAACAUGCCAAUUUUUGUUUAUUUAGUUAUUACUAUGGAAAGGAUUGAGAGAGAGACAUGCAAAAUAACAUGGUCCCACCAAUCAAAAGAAAAAACAGUCUAGAUCUGUUCAGUGCUCUUACCUCUUAGGAGGUAAGUUGGAGUGAACUAAAUGAGCUCAGUCAAGAAAGUUUAGCUAACAUAUUUUCAAUACUAGCCAUUCGGUUAAGACUUGGCACAAAUGCCCAUAUUUCUUGGAUUUAUUUAAGCUUUCCAAUGGUAUUCUUUUGAUGGUAUACUUCAUCAACUAUGCGAAGUAUUUGUGAUGAUUAAAUCAAUCUCAAGAUAUGUUGGUUCAGUCUCUCAUAUAUGCUGAAAGAGAGGUAGGGUAGUGACGUGGCAAGGAAUUUUAAACAGGGUGGCAAGGAAUUAGUCAAAUUUGACGUGGCAAGGAAUUAGGCAAAUGAUUUGAUAAGGCGCUACAGCUAACAUAUAGCAGUAGCGCGUGUCAUCCCACGCUACUGCUGUACAUGGCUAGCAGUAGCGAGCUUUAGUGCAGAGCGCUGCUGCUAAUAUCUGCAACGCUUUUUAGCAGGAAGCGCUACUAGUAAGGAAGCGCUACUGCUAACUGUAUUCCCCUCGCUACUGCUAGUUUUAUUAGGUUCUGUUUUUUCUGCAUAUUUGUUUUGUAUUUGAAUAUGCUUUAUACAAUAAUCUUUAUCAUAUCAUACACAUACAAAUGUAAUCAUAGCAUAUACGUACAAAUAGUCUCAUCAAAUCAUGUCAUCAUCAUAAUCAUCAUCCAACACAAAGUGGUCUCUCUUCAUCAUCUCAAAAAUAGCGAUACAAGUCUCGAUUACUUGCAACUACAUCGUCAUCCAUCUAAACAAUGAUAUACGUGAGAAGAGCUAUCACUAUGAGUGAGAGCGGAACUAUGCAGUACAUGAGUUCAUAUCCCUCUCUCGCAUUAGCGUGAACCUAAACUAACUACUGGCUGUCGCUAGGGAACCCGGAAACUGGUACACCUAGGCCUGACACUCCAGCCACUCGUCGUAUACUCCUGGCGUAGCACUUCUUCGCCAUCGAUGAUCUAUGCACCUGCAUCGUCACAUGAGUGGAUGAUAUGCAAUAUAUAUAGUUGAGCAACAGAAAGAGACAGACUUGACAAAAAUAGAAGCAACAUAUUAUAAGCAUAAAUAACAAAGUUCAUUGUGCCCACAUGCCCUAACUAGAGUGAUCUUCGCUAGUUAAGGAGGACAGUUUAAUUAUAUCACAAAUAAAGUUUCGUCGUGCAUAACUUAAAGUUUUGUCAUACAGAAAGUAUGGACUAAACGGACACAUUGUCAUAUAUCGACAAUCACUCCAACAUGUCGUGCCAUCCAUCUAAGUCAGGGAGAUAGUCCCCGAGCUUAGUGAAAGGCUUCAGGUCGAGACGCUGAGCGGCUACGCGUGUUCGGACGUUUUCCUGCGAUAUUUGUCCUUCUUUGUAGAACAUCCCUGUUUUACCGACGACCUCCUUCAUGAUGAUUUAGGCAAGUUCGCGUUGGAUGUGAUAGAACUCAGCUCGAAGUCGAUGAUCCUCGAUAUCUCCGAAGUUCUUUGCCCAUUGCAGAAUAUGGGCAUCGCCGGAUAUAGGUGACAUGCAAAGGUUCUAGUGAUCCCGUCUGUACUCCAGCAUGUGGUGUAUGACAUGGAAUCCAUCAUUAAGAGAAUCACUCGGUUGCUGGAUGCAGCAGAAAUCGCUCGUAUGGCCAGGUAGACGUUGUCGCAGUCACCAGAACCCUAUCCUGCAUCGUUGCUAGCCAUGUUUCCUACGAUUAAAUCUAGUCAAUUAAUUCUAGACCUAAUAAAAUGAAUAAUGGCAUAAGAAAGGCCUAUGUUUGUAGGAUCGUUGACUCCUUCCCAGUGUGGCAAAUCCCGGGCACUCAAUAUGCCCCACUUUGUAGCACAAGUCAUGCCGAAAUUCACGGAAAAUUUUGGCAUGACCUUGCUAAAAAGUGGACAAAUCGAGAACCUGAAAUUUGCCGAAACGGAAAUGAAUCAACAUUCCGACAAAACAUAGGCCACUCAGCUUCAUUCCCUGGAAACAACAAAAGGCCACUUGGGCACAAUCGAACCACUUCUAUGUUGCAUAUAACACGACCACUUAAGAAUAUGUACAUGAGAAACUACAACAGUAGAUAAACAUGUGCAAACACAAUUGAGGAAUUUGCAUAUACCCUGACCACUUCAAAUUUGCAUCUCCUAGCGUUUGACACUUCAAGAAAAUCUACACAAAUCUCAUGCUCUCUCAAACUCAAUUCAAAAACCAAAUAUAGAUUAUAUUUAGUUAAGUACUGAACUAAACUUUACUCUAAACUAAACCCUACUGCCCUAAUUAACAUCUAGUUAAACAAACUCAAUUCAAAAACUAAACCCUACUAAACUAAUUAAUAUCUACAUUAUCUACUACUUAACAUCUAUUAUUACCCUAACUAAAAAACAUCUACUAUUAACCAUAUUGCCCUAGUUAACUAGUACCAUCACUACUACUAAUUAACAUCUACUACUACUACUAAAAAUCGUUAUCUAUGAACCCUAGUACUAAUUAACAUCUACUACUACUUCUAAUUAACAUGGCAGAGGAAGAAAAAGAAGAGAGAGAGAGGGGGUGGGGGGCUUACAGAGAGGGGAGAGACGGUGGCGGAGAGGUGCUCGGCGAUGGAGGUAAGGGUGGCGAGGGCGGGCUCGGGAUCGGGAGGCAGCGGUCCUGGGCGGGCUCGGGCGGUGGCGGUGAGGUCGAGGGCGGCGGAGGUGAGGUCAAGGGCGGCGACGGUGAGGUCGAGAGCGGCGGUGGGCGGCGGCGGUGAGGUUGAGGGCGGCCUCGGGCGGCGGCGAUGAGGGCAGGCUCGGACUCGGGCGGUGCGGUCGACGGCGGCGUCAGAGGAGUUGGGGGAACAGGGGAGAGAGGAUGGAAAGGAGGACUUAGCAAAAUUUCGAGUCUACGGGUGGUUAAGUCGAACUAGCAGUAGCGCUGUUUCGGAAACGCGCUAUAGCUAAGUUAGCUAUAGCGCGUUUUAGCGAAACACGCUACUGCUAUAGGAAGCAGUUAGUUCUUUUAUUUAUCCUUACAUUUUCUUUUUUUUCAUUUCUCUAUUUCAUACUUCUUUCAUUUUCAUUUACUUCUCUAUUAUUUUUUCAUUUUUCUUUUCUUUCUUAGCAGUAGCGCUCUACGCAGGAAACACGCUGCAACAACGACCAUAGUGGUAGCGUGCUUUACGCGGAAUCGCUACUACUAUUCCUAGCCUACCGCCAACACGAUGGGAAUUAUGGUGGUAGCUCUUUUUGAAACACACGCGCUGCUGCUAUAGUUGUAGCUAUAGUGCGUUUUUCUAGAACACGCUAGCAGUAGCGCCCUAUUUUAAUCAGCGCUACUGAUAUACCUCUAUGUAUAGGUUUUUCUCUAGUAGUGGAAAAAAGAAAAACUGAAUAAAACCGGUGAAAAAAUUAAAAGAACCGACAAAAAAACAAAAAAACAAAAAAAAGUAUUGAAGAAAACCAGAUCACAGCAAACCUAAAGCAAACGAAUCCCGCUAAUAGGCCGGCCUUCUCCAUCUACGCCUGACGCCAUAGCAACUUUCAUCCAGCUAUAAGCAAGAUAAAGCUCUAGCACUAGCAAUUAUGUACGAAUGUUGUAGCUGGAAAUGAUCAGGGCCUGUGACUUGCCAGAUUGGAUAAGAUGAUCUAGUAUAUGCUGUAUUUUUUCAGGGCUUACCAUUCUAGCCCGGGAGAAGGGCUGUGUGUUGCCUGGACAGCAGCGAGAUAGAAGAACCGAUCGCCUCUGACAGCCUUUGUUUUUCUUUUUUUCCAGUAUUAAUUAUACAUAUUUAUGUAAAUAGAAAAUAUAUAACUUCAAUUAUAUAUGCUAGAUAGCGGUGCAUCGAGUCCCCUGAGCCGGUGUUUACCCCAUGUCUUACUCUCGCUCGCUGGCGACCGGAGCAACACUCGAGGGGGGAGGGGGGGGGGGCAGCUGGCCGCCGGACAUGAGCACGGCGGAGUCAUGUUAGGAAAUGUUGCAUGGAAAACAAAAAAUUUCUACGCACACUAAAGAUCUAUCCGUGAAGAUGGAUAUCUACGAGAGGGAGGGUGCAUCUACGUACCGUCGUAGAUCGCUAAGCGGAAGCAUUUAUCAAUGCGAUUGAUGUAGUCGUACAUCUUCACGAUCCGUUCCGAUAAAGCACCAAACAUACGACACCUUCGCGUUCAGCACACGUUUAGCUCAAUGACGUCCUCGCCUUUUUGAUCCAGCAAGAGGAGCGAAGUAGUAGAAGAGUUCCGACAGCAUGAUGGUGUGGUGAUGAAAGUGGUGAAACUAUUUCCGCAGGGCUUCGCCAAGCACAACAGUUUUAGAGCGGAUGAUGAACUAGGGAGGAAAUUAGAACCAUACUGGGCUUCUAAUUAUGAGGAUUAGAGGUAGUUAGGGCUAGCUCUAAUUAGUCAACUUGGACCAACUAGAACUAGAACUAGAUCAACUAGAGGAGGCUUAAAAACUUUUUGUUCUAGGGGCUACCCUCCUCCUCUAUUUAUAUGUUGAGCCCUGGGGUCGUUACACUACUAGGGAAAACCCUAGCAGUAGCGCGGGUUUUGUGCUCACUAGUAGCGCGGCAGGGCGCGCUACUAAUAAGGCGCUACAGCUAUUGCUUAGCAGUAACGCGUGCCCGCACGCGCUACUGCUAGGACAAAUAGCUGCAGUGUUUGUUCACUCCCACGCUACUGCUAAUGUAGCUAGUGGCAGCGUGUUUACUCUCCAUCGCUACUAGUAUUCUUUUUUUAUUUUUUUAUUUUUAGUUUAUUUAUGCGCCAUCGUACAAAUAUUAGUACAAUACCAGUUAUGAGGUUUACAUCAUUAUGUCUAUAACUGUGUGCCAAAUGAAGGUGGAUUAGGUUCAAGUGGAGGCAAUAUGUGGUGCAUGUCAAAAGUAUACUACUAAACCAAACUUGAUCUAGUUUGGACUAGUAGUACUUUCGAUGUGCACCACAUGUUGCCUCCACUUGAAUCUAAUCCGCCAGCACAAGCUAUUUAAUCAUCAUCAUAGUCAUAACAUCAACAGUAGUUAUUUAAUCAUCAUAGUCAUAGUGUAGCACAUCAUCAUCUUCAAACUCAUUCUAGCUAGCUAAUCACCAUCAACACUAGUUGCGGUAGCUAUCUAAUCACCAGCAAUACUAGCUAAUAAAAAUCAUCAGAGUCAUUGCCACCAACACUAGCUAAUCACUCCUGCUGCUCUCUCUCUCUCUCUCUUUCAGGUAAAAUAACAUAAAACAUGUGUAGCACUCGUUCUUCAUCAAGUUGGAGCAUGCAGAUGAACAUGUCUCCUAAUCGUGGGAUGCGCUUGUGAUUGUUGUCCCCUAGUACUCCUCUGCGAUCGUUCAUAAUUUUGCUCCAAUCUUUCACCAAUAGUGCAUUAUAGGAUAUCUUGGCCGUAAGCUAACAAUUCUCAUCUGACCUUUAGUCUUGAUCCAAUGAGGCACAACACAUUCAGCGGGAGUCCCUGUUGAAGAACAUCGUAUAGUAACAUACUUAGCAAUGAAGUUUAGCUUAAAAAUAAUGUAUGCAAAAGAUGCACUGAGUACAAAUAAUAAAAAUCUUAUCAUCUUUCCUAAAUAGAUGUGACCGUAGUUCAAUACGAACACUAUUGGUCGCACGUUUUGAGUACUAAGAUUUGCAAGUCCAAAAAAAUAAUUUGUCUUGAUAGUAUGAAGAUCCUCAAGCCAUGAAACAUAAUGACUUAUCUCCUCGCAGUUUAGUUCAGCCCCGGGACAGUAGUAGGUCAUGUCUACCAAGCGCUGGACAUGUUUGCUUGAUUAGAAAUAUGCUGUCAAUAGAAAUUAGUUGUCAACUAUUUUUGAAUAAACAAUAUCAAAGACAUAAAUAUGGUUGAGAAACUCACAUUUUGAUAGAACUGGAGGCGUCUGCACAUCGACCCAGAUGUUGGUAUUACCCUCAAUACCAUAUUCCGGACGAAUAUCAAAGGUGAUAACCAUAUCAGGCUCAAAUGCAUAAAUCUUGCAUAGUGCUCGCCAUGUUUUGCAUCCAAAAUAGGUGUAGUCGUCUUCGUUGUAUAACUUUGCAUAGAAAAUAUAACAAUGCUCGGUCUUCAAAUAAACUCUCUUUACCUCCAUAGUAGUUGUCAUAGAACUGAAACCUAUCUUAUCCAAUACAAAAACUCUUGCAUGGCAGGGGAUACGCUAGUAGAAUAGUAAAAACAAUAUAAGUUGAAGCAAAUGAAACAGAUGUCAUGCUUAAUUACGAAAAAAGAUUUGUCGUUGUGACUUACUGUAUCCACUUCAAAGUUCUCGUCCAGCUUGAUGCUGAAGCGCCUAUCAUCAUCUAGGAAGAUUCCGUCGCACAGGUCGCGCUCAUCUUCGCAGUAUUUGCAAAUACCGAAAUCCUUUCGUUGUCAGACAUUUCCUAUGUUUAUAGUUAAAACAUUAAUUAAAAAUCGAUCGAAGACAACUAUCAGGAUACUCAACACACAAAUCCGGGACACUCGAUGUUACCUACAUAUUCUGGCACAAGUCAUGCCAAAAUUCACGGAAAAAUACGGCAUGACCUUUGCUAAAAUAGGACAUAUCGAGCACCUGAAAUUUACCGGAACGGAAAUGAAUCAACACUCCGGAAAAACAUAGGCCACUCGGAGGUGUAACCUGCAAACAUGACCGGCCACUUGGGCAAGCACAUAUCCUAUUUGAGCAACACAAGAUAUACAUUUCAAAAUAUCUUAUAGGACUCAAAUUAGCAUGCAUUCAAUAAGCAAAAGUAAAUCAUCUCAUGCGUCCGUAUAUCAUCGAAUAUUAUCACUAAUACAUCCUGAAUAGUAUCAUACAUAUAACAUCACUAAUACAACUAAAACCCUAGCACACGACGGGUAUCGACGCGCGCGAUGGACACUCACAGAGAACGAACCAUCACGGGAUCAUAGCUCCAGUGAGAUCCUUGGAGAACCUGCCAGGUAUUGGAGAACCUGUGCUCCAAUGCAAACAAGUAGCGAUGGACGUGCGCGUCCUCCUCACUGACACGGUGACGCACCACCUCCGCAGGGUCCUCGAGCCUCUGGACCGUCACUAGCCCACGCGACCGCCACGAAAGAAGGUUCGGGUCAACGACAGGCUGGCUCCUCACCAACCUGCGCCCCCCGGUAGGUAGCGCCUCCCAGUACCACCCCGGCGGAGCCCAGUCCCGGACAUGGCCCAUCUGGUCAAGAAGGUGUCGUCCUCCGCCAACUCGACGACAAGGAUGCGGGAUAGGCAUCGUCCACAUCGAUGCGGGAAAAUUGCUUUAACUAAAAAAAUAGCAACAAGUUCUUACUAACUAGUUCUAUUAAUUCAAUUAGUUCUUACUAAAAAUAAACUUACUAUAAAUAAAAAUAAACUAGUACCUAAUUAGUACCUAGUUCUUACUAACUAAUUAGUACCUAGGAACUACUGCCCUAAUUACCAUAUAAGUAUCCAUUUUUUAACUAGGGUUUGUACUACCUAAUUAAAUAGGGUUAAUACUAAUUGUAAUUAACUAACUAGCACUAAAAAUAGCCUAGGGAUCAUACUAACUAGCACUAAAUAGCUAGGGUUCAUACUAAGCAGAGAAGAGGAAAUGGGAGAGUGCUUACAGAGGGCGGGGAGAGAGAUGGGGUCGGGGGAGACGGCGGCACCGAGGCGCGUCGAGGUGGGGUCGGGGGAGACGGCGGCGAGGCGGGUCGAGGGAGACGACGGCGGAGAGCGAGGGCAGGGGCUCCGGCAAGGUCGAGGUCGAGGAGGAGGAGGCACAGGCGCGCGACGACGUCGAGGGGCAGACUCCGGCGGAGAGCGAGGGCAGGGCCUCCGGCGAGGGCGAGGGGAGGGGCUCCGGCGGAGGCGACGAGGGGGAGAAGAGAGAGUGGGGAAUUGGGGGAGGAAGCAGAGGAGAGGGAAGGCCGCGCGGGGGGUUAGGUGAAAAUAGCUUUAACAGUAGCGUGGGGAGCGAAAACGCGCUGCUGCUAAAAUCCAUAGUAGUAGCACUGUUUUUAGAAGGGCGCUACUACUAUACCUAGCAUGUCGGGAACGGUGUGGCAAUUAUAGUAGUAGCGCGUUUUGUUCUUGACGCGCUACUGCUAAGUAGAUAACGGUAGCACCCUUUAAGCCAACGUGCUACUACUAAGUAGCAGUAGCGCCUCAUUCUAACACGCGCUACUGGUAAAAUUCUGUGUAUAAGGUUUUCCCUAGUAGUGUUACUUGGGGAGAGGGCCUCCCCAAAGUCGGUUUGGAACACAAGGAAGAGCCAUUCUCAUAUUUCAGCACCAGACGCCACGGUCCUCGGCAUCUGGCCCAGAUGCCAUGGUCCUUGGCGUCUGGCGUCUGGUCCUCGACCUGCGCAAAACUUCCUUUUGCACCGACCUAAAGCCCUGUGGGCCUUACCCCUUGGCCCAACUAUCAUCCUAUAUAUCAAUCUUUACCUCUAGACCAUUCCGGAGCUCCUCGUCAUGUAUGUGAUCUCAUCCGGGACUCUGAACAACAUUCGGUCACCAACAUACAUAACUCAUAUAAUACUAUAUCGUCAAUAAACGUUAAGCGUGCGGACCGUACGGGUUCGAGAAUGAUGUAGACAUGACCGAGACGCUUAUCUGGUCAAUAACAAAUAGCGGGAUCUGGAUGCCCAUAUUGGUUCCUACAUAUUCUACGAAGAUCUUUAUCGGUCGAACCAUUAUGACAACAUACGUUGUUCCCUUUGUGAGUCGGUACCUAAUUCAAUCUCGUUACCGGCAAGUCUCUUUACUCGUUCCGUAGUACAUUACCUUGUAACUAACUCCUUAGUCACUUUGCUUGUAAGCUUCUUGGGAUACUGUAUUACCGAGAGGGCCCAGAGAUACCUUUCCGUCAUACGGAAUGAUUAAUUCCAAUCUUGAUCCAUGCCAACUCAACAGACACCUUCGGAGAUACCUGUAGACCACCUUUAUGAUCACCCUAUUAUGAAGUGGCGUUUGAUACACACAAGGUAUUCCUCCGGAGUCCGGGAGUUGCAUGAUCUCAUGGUCGAAGGAACAUCUAUUUCACAUUAAGAAAGCAGUAGCAAUAAAUUGAACGAUCAUAUGCUAUGCUAACGGAUGGGUCUUGUCCAUUACAUUAUUCUCUUAAUGACGUGAUCUCAUUAUCAGACGACAACUCAUGUCUAUGGUCAGAAAACCUUAACCAUCUUUGAUCAGCGAGCUAGUCAAGUAGAAGUUUACUAGGGAGUUAGUAUUUGUUUAUGUAUUCGCACAUGUAUUUAAAUUCCGAUAAAUACAAUUAUAGCAUGAAUAAUAAACCUUUAUCAUGAUUAAGGAAAUAUAAUAACAACCACUUUAUUAUUGCCUCUAGGGCAUAUUUCCAACAAGUCAGGCGAGCUUCACUUAGAUUAAGUUUCACGUUGCAUGUAAUUGUAUGGAUUUGAGAUUUCAUAAUUGAGGUAUCCGGUUGUGGAAAUGAUUAUUUGAGGUGUGAUAGGUCACUGGAUUUGCCAAGUCCAGCUUUAAAUGCUCUGAUGACUGCUUCAUGUGAAAAGUUCAUCUGAAAUCCAUAGCCUCUAUUGGGAGGGAACUUCAGUAAACUCUCAAGGAGAUGGUUACGCAAGUAUAACUAACUUGCAGAGUUUUAUUUGUUAGUGUUUGUAUUAGCGGCCCAGGCGAGGGAGUCCUAGCUGUCACGGGUGCAGGCGACCUAGCUGUGGGAUUCUCAGCUGCUGGGGACGUCAUGGACACGUCUGUCCCAUCUACACCGGCGAUUCAGUACUGCUUAUGAUUGCAUCCACCUCCUGUUCACGCACCAUCACCAGCGCCUGCUCCCGCUCCUGGGGAGUGGCAUAGUCUGUCUAUUGUAACAUACUGAUGGCACAGUUGCCUGGUUUGCAGCUUGUAUGCUAUCUCGGAUCCGACCCCUGAACCCGUCAUUAUCAGGCUACUAUGAGUAUUCCACCUGACGGAUUGCUAUAUAUGGAACAAAAGUAUCAUACUCUCUUUCCCAAUAAAACAUUGUGUUUGGUUCCUCCUCCUCCAGGUGUUAAUAUCAUUGACUCCAAAUAGGUGUUUAAAGUGAAGAAGCAUUCUGAUGGCUUCAUUGAGCACUAGAAGGCCCGCCUGGUUGCAAAAAGUUUUAAACAACGCUAUGGUCUUGAUUACGAGGAUAAAUUCAGUCCAAUUGUCAAGCCCACCACCAUUCUUCUCAUGCUAUUCUUGGCGGUUACUCAUGGCUGGUCUCUCCAAUAGUUGGAUUUUCAUAAUGCCUUUCUUCAUGGUGAGUUAGAGGAGAAAGUUUACAUGAGGCAGCCACCAGGUUUUAUUGACCCAGAUCAUCCUCAUCACCUUUGUCGCUUGGACAAAACACUAUAUGGUCUAAAGCAGGUUCUUCGUACUUGGCAUGCGCUUCUUGCCAGUGCUCUCCGUGUUUGCUAGUACCUACAUGCAACUCGAGACUAAUAUCGAUCUGCUAUCAAGCACAUUCUUCAUUAUGUUCGCCUUACAGCCUAUUAUGGAUUACAUCUUCGGCCUGCUCCCUCUCGUGUUCUUUCAGCUUUUUCAGAUGCAGAUUGGGCAGGCAACCUGAUGACCGGCGAUCCACGAAGGUAUAUGUGGUAUUUCUUGGUCCUAACUUGAUUGCCUGGAGUGCUCGCACCAUAUCUCGUAGCAGUAUAGAGGUUGAGUACAAGGCUGUAGCCAAUGCGGCCGCAGAACUUAUUUGGGUACAAUCUCUGCUUCAUCAGGUGUGAGUACCUCAACGACAGCCACCGCUUCUUUGGUGUGAUAACAUUGGUGCUACACACCUUUCUUCCAAUCCGGUAUUUCAUGCACGAAUAAAACACAUCAAAGUUGACUACCACUUUGUAAGAGAACGUGUUGCACAGAAUCUACAUCAGAGUAAGGUCAUCUUCUCUAAAGAUCAACUUACGGACAUCUUCACCAAGCCAUUGCCGUUACCUUUGUUUGAGCACUGUUGGGGCAAUUUCAACUUGUGUAACACGGUUGAGAUUGAGGGAGGGUAUUAGAUUUCAUAUAUGACUUGUACUCUGAAUACAACUCGUACAUGUACAUGUAACCUUGUUUUUUUUCGGAAGUGAGGACUCCACGGCCUCUAUAUCAGAACGAUGCAUACGGUCACACAUGUAACCUUGUUAUAUAUAUAUGAAUACAAGGCCACCUUGAGAGGUAGAGCAGUUGACCCAAAAUCAUCUAAACCAAGCGUUAAUAGUUUGAAAUCAAGUUUGCAGCAAGGAACUUUUGGUUGGAAGAUUGAUUAUACAAUUAUGAAGAGAAAAUCUAGCUUCCUCCAUUCUUAACGUAUAAAUUGAAGAACUUUUAUACUGUAUUUUCCUUUGACUCAGUACCCCACCUGAAACAGUCCAUACGUAUCUUAUUUAUACAUAAAUAAGAGUGGGGUAGAGGUUCAGGGAUGCCGGCCAGAACAUGCCGUGCAGCUCUAGCACAGUUUUUGGCAAACUAGAUUACACCAGCUCCUUAGGAGCAUGGCGAUCGUAAGAGGGUGCAGUGUCAAAAGCCUCCUGUUCCGGCUCUUCCAGGUGAUCGAGAGUACCGGCCAGCAGGAUGGAAGUGUUGGCUAGCCUGCGGUGCAGAUGACGCAGAGGGGAUAAAAGCAUGACGGGGACCGCAGAUGUCCUCAAGGGAGCCGGUCGCAGUGGCGCGCACAGCGGUAAGCCAAGGGUGCGGUGUAAGCCGGCGAGCCGGGCGCAGCCUACGAAGAGGUGCACAGCAUCUUCGUCCUCAACUGUGUAGAAGCGGCAGGCAGCGGUAGAAGCAAUGCUCAAGCGAUCCAGAAAGCUUCGUGUGAGUAUUACCAUGCGGAGCAAUCCAGAAGAAGAUCUAGACCUUUUUGGGAGCAAAGCACUCGCCAGGGUGGUGGAGGAGAGUGUAGACGCCGGGGGUGAGGGUUGGCGAGUGAAGGUCGACGACUCUCAAAUGUGAACAUUUUCGCUGUACAUCGCGAGGGAAUCAGCAGCCUGUGAGCGAUUGGGCCCAAAACUUGGACCGAGCUUCUCCCGGCCUGUUUCCGAGCAAUUACAAGUUUAUUUACAUCGCUUUUUCCCCUAAAAAAACUUGUUUCUUUCUUUAUUUCUGUGGAAUGGAAUUGUACCCUCUACAAGUGGACGGAAAAUUCUAAAAAAUAAAGUGGACCGGGCGACCAAGAAUAUCUUUUGAAUGAUCAUUGUAUUGUACUCUUGGUUAAUAAAUACUCCCUCUGGUCCUUUUUACUCUGCAUAUUCGGUUUGUCUGAAGUCAAUCUCAUCCAACUUUGACCAAGAUUAUAUAAAAAAUUAUAGACAUUCACAUAACAACACCAAUAUCAUUAGAUUCAUCUUGGAAUAUAUUUUCAUAUUAUAUUUAUUAAAUAUUAUAGAUGCUAAUAAUUUUUAAUAUAAAUUUGGUCAAACUUAGCAAAGUUUGACUUUCGCCAAAACCAAUGUGCAGAGUAAAAAGGACCGGAGGGAGUACAGUGAUGGUCAUAAUGUCACCAUAUGACCAAAAUGGUGCGGUCCUUAAUUUUGUAGCAUUAACUCACAUGUCUCGUUCUUGUUGGAGAGAUGAUGAACCAACAACUUUUGGUGGUGUCCUAUCUACCAGGAAAUUUCCAGGAAGCUGCAUUGGUGGUGUCCUUUAUGUGCAAGAGAUUUCCAGGAAGUUUCGUUCAGGGUCAAACCUUAGCCUUGUGAAGUCAUCUUUGAUAUAUGUGAAUUAAUGCUCAGGAAAGGACAAGGAUAGUAAUGAAUAAGAUAUCCAUCUUUCCUUUGAAUUUCUCCGAAAUGUUGAUGGAAGGCCGCAUCUUUCAAUGCUAUAUAUAUGCCCAUGUCUCUGAGCCUGGAAAAUGUUCCAUUUGCAACCACUGUCUACAUCAAGCUACAUAUAUUUCAUUCUCUCUCCUUUUCAUGUGGGCGAUGGUGAUUAUAGAUCAAAACAUCUUAAUCGCAUUGGUGUCAUCUCUCAUGAUGUUGAUCUUGCGGCCAUUGAUCGUAGAUGUCAUCCUGGUAAGCAAAAAAAUCUGGAGCUUCUUGCGCACACUUACAAAAUACCUAGUGCAUGACGACACCCUCGCCGUCGACUCCGUGGUGCUUGGUGAUAGCCGCGCGCCGCCGGCGCAACUAGUUGGCGGCGGCGGACUGACCUCUGGUGACAUAGAAAUUGUCACGACGAGGCUUGGUCUGACCGGGUGGAGGUACCAACCCUGUGAAGUAAUCGGUGUCGUAGAUGAGUUUAUGGACGGUAAGCAAGCGAGCGAGGAUGAGCUGGAGGAGGCCUUCUACGUUUUUGACCGUAACGAGGAUGGGUUCAUAUGCGCCGGGGAGUUGUGGAAUGUGAUGAGGAGGCUAGGGUGGAAAGAAGGGGCGAUGUAUGAGGACUGUGUGAGGAUGAUCUGCGCCUUCGAUGAGGAUGGAGAUGGGAAGAUCAACUUCCUAGAGUUUAGAAGGAUGAUGGAGAAUGCCGUUAAAGUACCAUGUGUUUCGGUGUUUCAUUACUCUGCUCCCUUACUGUAAUAAGCCGUUGUAAAAUGUGGCAUGAACAAUGUGUGUUGGUAUGCUAAUUUUUGGCAUUUAAAUAAGGUUUUUACCUCACUAUUUGGCGGCUCUGCUUUUUACCAAAUAAUUGGGCAAAUAUGAAAAGUAUCGAACAUUGCAUCUCGUCAGCAACCAGUUUAUACUUGUAGUAGGAAAAGACAAGCUUUACUCUCUAAAGUUUUGACUUUGUACCCGCAAAAGGUAACAAUUGUAGUGAAAGUACCAAUUCAUUAUAUGGAAAGGCAUUACUCUA